GGCCCAAACUCCUACGGGAGGCAGCAGUGGGGAAUAUUGGACAAUGGGCGCAAGCCUGAUCCAGCCAUGCCGCGUGAGUGAUGACGGCCUUAGGGUUGUAAAGCUCUUUCGCUCGGGACGAUAAUGACGGUACCGAGAUAAGAAGCCCCGGCUAACUUCGUGCCAGCAGCCGCGGUAAUACGAAGGGGGCUAGCGUUGUUCGGAAUUACUGGGCGUAAAGCGCGUGUAGGCGGGUCUUUAAGUCAGGGGUGAAAUGCCAAGGCUCAACCUUGGAACUGCCUUUGAUACUGGAGAUCUUGAGUCCGGGAGAGGUGAGUGGAAUUGCGAGUGUAGAGGUGAAAUUCGUAGAUAUUCGCAAGAACACCAGUGGCGAAGGCGGCUCACUGGCCCGGAACUGACGCUGAGACGCGAAAGCGUGGGGAGCAAACAGGAUUAGAUACCCUGGUAGUCCACGCUGUAAACGAUGGAUGCUAGCCGUUGGGGAGCUUGCUCUUCAGUGGCGCAGCUAACGCUUUAAGCAUCCCGCCUGGGGAGUACGGUCGCAAGAUU
rnacentral:rRNA from 1 species